rnacentral:tRNA from 1 species
GGCAGUGUAGCCCAAUGAAUAUGGCACUGAACUGGGAAUUGGGAGAUCUGGGGACAGUUCCCCGCUCUGCCA